rfam:Veillonella montpellierensis DNF00314 contig05, whole genome shotgun sequence.
GCGGGAGUGGCGGAAUUGGCAGACGCACCAGACUUAGGAUCUGGCGCCUUACGGCGUGGGGGUUCAAGUCCCUUCUCCCGCA